AAGUCGUAACAAGGUUUCCGUAGGUGAACCUGCGGAAGGAUCAUUACAAAUCCAUUCACGUCUCUCUCCAAUGGAGAAGACCACGUUGAAAUGUUCCCUAGUGGGGUGGUGGUGGUGGUCGUAAGGAGGGAAGGAGGGAGGAGGGGAAGGUCACACUUCCCCCUCCCCUCCCCCCCCUUCACACAAACAACACAACACUGGGCUUGUUAAACUAGUAUUCAUCCUUUGUUGCUCAAAUGUAUCUCUUGUUCAAGAACAAAAGUACAACUUAUAACAAUGGAUCUCUUGGCUCCU
rnacentral:misc_RNA from 1 species